GGAAACGUGGCCGAGUGGUCGAAGGCGCUCCCCUGCUAAGGGAGUAGGCGGGAAACCGUCUCGAGGGUUCGAAUCCCUUCGUUUCCG
rnacentral:tRNA from 1 species